CGCACUGUGCAUGCAGCAUAUCAAUAAGCGGAGGAAAAGAAACUAACAAGGAUUCCCCUAGUAACGGCGAGUGAAGCGGGAAGAGCUCAAAUUUGAAAUCUUAAAGGGUUUCCCUUUACGAAUUGUAGUUUAAAGAAGUGUUUUCUGUUGAGGUUUUGGUAAAAGUUCUUUGGAAUAGGACAUCAUAGAGGGUGAGAAUCCCGUAUUUGACCUUUACUUUCAACUUUGUGAUACACUUUCAAAGAGUCGGAUUGUUUGGGAAUGCAGUCCAAAAUGGGUGGUAAAUUUCAUCUAAAGCUAAAUAUUGGCGAGAGACCAAUAGCGAACAAGUACCGUGAGGGAAAGAUGAAAAGAACUUUGAAAAGAGAGUUAAACAGUACGUGAAAUUGUCAAAAGGGAAGCGUUUGACACCAGUGUUGUUUUUCUGAAAAUCAAUUAAAGAACUGUUUAUGCUAAGUUGUUUAGACUUUAUCAGCUAACUGUUUAGUUUUGAGCUUUUCUUUAAUGCACUUUUCAGUUAACAAGUCAACAUCAAUUUCUUUUGCUGUAAAAAAGCUUGAGGAAGGUGGCUUGAGAUUCGUCUUAAGUGUUUAUAGCCUCUUGCCUAUGCAGUCGGAGAGAUUGAGGUCUGCAGCGUAGAUCCUUCGGGGCUAAAUGCAUUUGUGCUAAGUUAUAACAUUUUAUAGACAACUUGUUGACUAUGAUUUGUCUUGUAGCUUACUCGCUUAUGUUAUUUUACCUACGCUUAGGAUGUUGACAGCAGUAUAGACUGU
rnacentral:rRNA from 1 species